UACGAAGGGGGCUAGCGUUGCUCGGAAUCACUGGGCGUAAAGGGCGCGUAGGCGGCCGGCCAAGUCGGGGGUGAAAGCCUGUGGCUCAACCACAGAAUGGCCCUCGAUACUGGCUGGCUCGAGACCGGAAGAGGUUGGUGGAAUUGCGAGUGUAGAGGUGAAAUUCGUAGAUAUGGGGAGGAACACCGGUGGCGAAGGCGGCCACCUGGACGGUCACUGACGCUGAGACGCGAAAGCGUGGGGAGCAAACAGGG
rnacentral:rRNA from 1 species